AUUGAACGCUGGCGGCAUGCCUUACACAUGCAAGUCGAACGGUAACGGGUCCUUCGGGAUGCCGACGAGUGGCGAACGGGUGAGUAAUAUAUCCGAACGUGCCCAGUAGUGGGGGAUAACUGCUAGAAAGAGCAGCUAAUACCGCAUACGAACUGAGGGUGAAAGGGGGGGAUCGCAAGACCUCUCGCCAUUGGAGCGGCCUAUAUCAGAUUAGCUAGUUGGUGGGGUAAAGGCCUACCAAGGCAACGAUCUGUAGUUGGUCUGAGAGGACGACCAGCCACACUGGGACUGAGACACGGCCCAGACUCCUACGGGAGGCAGCAGUGGGGAAUUUUGGACAAUGGGCGCAAGCCUGAUCCAGCAAUGCCGCGUGCAGGAAGAAGGCCUUCGGGUUGUAAACUGCUUUUGUCAGGGAAGAAAUCUUCUGGGCUAAUACCCCGGGAGGAUGACGGUACCUGAAGAAUAAGCACCGGCUAACUACGUGCCAGCAGCCGCGGUAA
rnacentral:rRNA from 1 species